CGGCGAGUUACCGUUUUUGGCUUGGUUAAGGUCUUACGGACCGAAGCCUCAGGGAAACCGAGUCUUAAUAGGGCGAAUUGUCAAGGGCGGUAGACGCGAAACCUGGUGAACUACCCAUGAGCAGGUUGAAGCGCGGGUUGUACCGCGUGGAGGACCGAACCCACUUAGGUUGAAAACUGAGGGGAUGACUUGUGGGGAGGAGUGAAAGUCUAAUCAAACCAGGAGAUAUCUCGUUCUCUCCGAAAUAGCUUUAGGGCUAGCGUCGAGCAACUAUUCAUUGGGGGUAGAGAGACUGAUUUGGUUUGGGGCCCUUCGCGGGGUACCCUGCUGAGCCAAACUCCGAAUACCAAUGAAACUAUCUCGGCAGUCAGUCCGCGGGGGAUAAGCUCCGCGGUCGAGAGGGAAACAACCCAGACUACCUGUUAAGGUCCCGAAGUCAUGCUCAGUCACUAAGGAAGUUGAUUUGCAGUGACAACCAGGAUGUUGGCUUAGAAGCAGCCACCAUUUAAAAAGUGCGUAA
rnacentral:rRNA from 14 species